ensembl:snoRNA SNORD83 Small nucleolar RNA SNORD83
GCCACAUGAUGUUUUCAUUUUGAAAAGUGAGCGCUUUGCGUAAUGACGACCGUAAUCUAUCACCCUUGACUGAUGGCU